CCUACGGGUGGCUGCAGUGGGGAAUAUUGGACAAUGGGCGAAAGCCUGAUCCAGCCAUGCCGCGUGUGUGAAGAAGGCCUUCGGGUUGUAAAGCACUUUCAGUGGGGAAGAAAGCCUUGGGGCUAAUACCCUCGAGGAAGGACAUCACCCACAGAAGAAGCACCGGCUAACUCCGUGCCAGCAGCCGCGGUAAUACGGAGGGUGCGAGCGUUAAUCGGAAUUACUGGGCGUAAAGCGCGCGUAGGCGGUCUGAUAAGCCGGUUGUGAAAGCCCCGGGCUCAACCUGGGAACGGCAUCCGGAACUGUCAGGCUAGAGUACAGGAGAGGAAGGUAGAAUUCCCGGUGUAGCGGUGAAAUGCGUAGAGAUCGGGAGGAAUACCAGUGGCGAAGGCGGCCUUCUGGACUGACACUGACGCUGAGGUGCGAAAGCGUGGGUAGCAAACAGGAUUAGAUACCCCUGUAGUC
rnacentral:rRNA from 1 species